GACGAACGCUGGCGGCGUGCCUAAUACAUGCAAGUCGAGCGAAGUUUUUCUGGUGCUUGCACUAGAAAAACUUAGCGGCGCACGGGUGAGUAACACGUAAAGAACCUGCCUCAUAGACUGGGACAACUAUUGGAAACGAUAGCUAAUACCGGAUAACAGUAUUUCUCGCAUGAGAGAUAUUUAAAAGUUGGUUAUGCUAACACUAUGAGAUGGCUUUGCGGUGCAUUAGCUAGUUGGUGGGGUAAAGGCCCACCAAGGCGACGAUGCAUAGCCGACCUGAGAGGGUGAUCGGCCACACUGGGACUGAGACACGGCCCAGACUCCUACGGGAGGCAGCAGUAGGGAAUCUUCCGCAAUGGGCGAAAGCCUGACGGAGCAACGCCGCGUGAGUGAAGAAGGAUUUCGGUUCGUAAAGCUCUGUUGUUAGGGAAGAAUGAAUAUGUAGUAACUAUACAUGUAAGAGACGGUACCUAACCAGAAAGCCACGGCUAACUACGUG
rnacentral:rRNA from 1 species